GAUGAACGCUGGCGGCGUGCCUAAUACAUGCAAGUCGAGCGAACAGACGAGGAGCUUGCUUCUCUGAUGUUAGCGGCGGACGGGUGAGUAACACGUGGAUAACCUACCUAUAAGACUGGGAUAACUUCGGGAAACCGGAGCUAAUACCGGAUAAUAUAUUGAACCGCAUGGUUCAAUAGUGAAAGACGGUUUUGCUGUCACUUAUAGAUGGAUCCGCGCUGCAUUAGCUAGUUGGUAAGGUAACGGCUUACCAAGGCAACGAUGCAUAGCCGACCUGAGAGGGUGAUUCGCCACACUUGAACUGAGACACGGUUCAGAACCCCAAGGGAGGCAGGAGGAAGGAAACUUCCCGAAAGGGCGAAAAGCUGACGGAGCAAAGCCGCGGGAGGGAUGGAGGGCUUUGGAUCGGAAAACUCUUGUAUUUGGGGAGAACAAAAGUGGUAGGAAACGAGCCACGCUUGGAGGUUCCUAAACAGGAAAGCCACGCCUACUUAGUU
rnacentral:rRNA from 1 species